rnacentral:rRNA from 1 species
UCGGAGUGCUUGCACUCUGUGAAACAAGAUACAGGCUAGCGGCGGACGGGUGAGUAACACGUGGGUAACCUGCCCAAGAGAUCGGGAUAACACCUGGAAACAGAUGCUAAUACCGGAUAACAACAGGUGAUGCCUAUCAACUGUUUAAAAGAUGGUUCUGCUAUCACUCUUGGAUGGACCUGCGGUGCAUUAGCUAGUUGGUAGGGUAACGGCCUACCAAGGCGAUGAUGCAUAGCCGAGUUGAGAGACUGAUCGGCCACAUUGGGACUGAGACACGGCCCAAACUCCUACGGGAGGCAGCAGUAGGGAAUCUUCCACAAUGGACGCAAGUCUGAUGGAGCAACGCCGCGUGAGUGAAGAAGGGUUUCGGCUCGUAAAGCUCUGUUGUUGGUGAAGAAGGACGGGGGUAGUAACUGACCUUUGUUUGACGGUAAUCAAUUAGAAAGUCACGGCUAACUACGUGCCAGCAGCCGCGGUAAUACGUAGGUGGCAAGCGUUGUCCGGAUUUAUUGGGCGUAAAGCGAGUGCAGGCGGUUCGAUAAGUCUGAUGUGAAAGCCUUCGGCUCAACCGGAGAAUUGCAUCAGAAACUGUCGAGCUUGAGUACAGAAGAGGAGAGUGGAACCCCAUGUGUAGCGGUGAAAUGCGUAGAUAUAUGGAAGAACACCGGUGGCGAAGGCGGCUCUCUGGUCUGUUACUGACGCUGAGGCUCGAAAGCAUGGGUAGCGAACAGGAUUAGAUACCCUGGUAGUCCAUGCC